AUUGAACGUUGGCGGCAGGCUUAAUACAUGCAAGUCGAACGAGAAAGUACCUUCGGGUGCGAGUACAGUGGCGGACGGGUGAGUAACGCGUAGGAAUCUACCUUGUAGUGGGGGACAACUUGGGGGAACUCAAGCUAAUACCGCAUACGACCUAAGGGUGAAAGUGGGGGAUCUUCGGACCUCACGCUAUAAGAGGAGCCUGCGUUGGAUUAGCUAGUUGGUGAGGUAAAGGCUCACCAAGGCGACGAUCCAUAGCUGUUCUGAGAGGAAGAUCAGCCACACUGGAACUGAGACACGGUCCAG
rnacentral:rRNA from 1 species